CGGCGGACGGGUGAGUAACGCGUGGGUAACCUGCCUCACACAGGGGGAUAACAGUUAGAAAUGACUGCUAAUACCGCAUAACCCGCUAGGGCCGCAUGGCCCGGACGGAAAAGAUUUAUCGGUGUGAGAUGGACCCGCGUCUGAUUAGCUAGUUGGUGAGGUAAUGGCUCACCAAGGCGACGAUCAGUAGCCGACCUGAGAGGGUGAUCGGCCACAUUGGGACUGAGACACGGCCCAAACUCCUACGGGAGGCAGCAG
rnacentral:rRNA from 1 species